AGAGUUUGAUCCUGGCUCAGGACGAACGCUGGCGGCGCGCCUAACACAUGCAAGUCGAACGGAGCUGAGAGGAGCUUGCUUUUCUUAGCUUAGUGGCGAACGGGUGAGUAACGCGUGAGUAACCUGCCCUGGAGUGGGGGACAACAGUUGGAAACGACUGCUAAUACCGCAUAAGCCCACGAUCCGGCAUCGGAUUGAGGGAAAAGGAUUUAUUCGCUUCAGGAUGGACUCGCGUCCAAUUAGCUAGUUGGUGAGGUAACGGCCCACCAAGGCGACGAUUGGUAGCCGGACUGAGAGGUUGAACGGCCACAUUGGGACUGAGACACGGCCCAGACUCCUACGGGAGGCAGCAGUGGGGAAUAUUGCACAAUGGGGGAAACCCUGAUGCAGCGACGCCGCGUGGAGGAAGAAGGUUUUCGGAUUGUAAACUCCUGUCGUUAGGGACGAUAAUGACGGUACCUAACAAGAAAGCACCGGCUAACUACGUGCCAGCAGCCGCGGUAAAACGUAGGGUGCAAGCGUUGUCCGGAAUUACUGGGUGUAAAGGGAGCGCAGGCGGACCGGCAAGUUGGAAGUGAAAACUAUGGGCUCAACCCAUAAAUUGCUUUCAAAACUGCUGGCCUUGAGUAGUGCAGAGGUAGGUGGAAUUCCCGGUGUAGCGGUGGAAUGCGUAGAUAUCGGGAGGAACACCAGUGGCGAAGGCGGCCUACUGGGCACCAACUGACGCUGAGGCUCGAAAGUGUGGGUAGCAAACAGGAUUAGAUACCCUGGUAGUCCACACCGUAAACGAUGAUUACUAGGUGUUGGAGGAUUGACCCCUUCAGUGCCGCAGUUAACACAAUAAGUAAUCCACCUGGGGAGUACGACCGCAAGGUUGAAACUCAAAGGAAUUGACGGGGGCCCGCAC
rnacentral:rRNA from 1 species